GAAGUUCUUCAAAGAGAAACUCGGGCAAAUCGCCAAACGGAGAUCUUUGAUCUUCUUAACUGGUAGUAGUAUUCUGUAUAUAUUCAUUAGCGACUGAUGUGGGGAUAGUAAAAAACCAUUAUAACAACGUAAGAAUUUUAUUUUCUUCUAUUUUAGGUGCAAUGAAGUUGUGGCAGUUUAAAAUACUUGGAAUUGCUGUACUGUCAUUCGGUGGUCUUCUGUUUGUUUUCAAUGGAACUGGUAAAAUAUUUACAAGAAUUGGAAGCUGCAAGGAAGCUCUUAAUGCUUAUCAAUUUCAAGAAGCGAAUGGAAAUUCAUUGAAAGAAUUAAUGAAAACGUGUCUCGAAGACGGAGUUGACUUGAAUGGCAAUAUUGAUUACAUAUAUUUGAAACGAAAUUUGAUAAAUUUUAGUUGUCCACAGUCAUGGAAAUAUUUGAGUGCUCCAAAACCACUUGUAGCUUUAGCUAGCUACCCAGGAUCAGGGAAUACUUGGACAAGAGAACUUAUAGAGACAGCGACAGGAUUACACACAGGGAGUAUCUACACAGACUGGAACUUUGUUGGUUCUAAGAUGUGUCCAACGCGUGGAAAAAUAUUUAUAGUAAAAACACAUUUAACGAGUAGUACAGCACAUCAUCCGGACUGUCGGAAGAUAGGCGUGUCAAAUUUAAAUUACUCAAAGGCAAUAUUCAUUCUACGAAAUCCUUACAACACACUACUUGCUGAGUUUAAUCGACAGAAUGCGAUACAACCAUCAAUCAAGACAUUGUUUUUCAACACGGGAGAAGGUCUUGCUCCUGCAAAGAUGUUCAGUAGUGAGAAAUGGAAGGCAUUUGUGAUGAAUGGAGCAAAUAAAUGGAAACAUAUGUCACUCUACUGGUUAGACAAAUUUGAUGGGCCAGCAUACGUUCUGGUAUAUGAAAGAGUAAGGGAAAAUACACUUUCAGAAAUUUACAAUUUGACGAAAUAUUUGAAUAUCAGCGUGCCUUUCAAUCAUUUAUAUUGUAUUUCAAGUAACACAACUGGAAACUAUCAUAGAAUAAAACCAAAAUGGAUGACAGUAGAAAAACUAUAUGAUGAAAAAUUAAGAAAAGAGGUCAAUAUUGUAAUAGAAGAUGUCAUUGCAAAAGUUGGUUUGAGAAAGAACAUUACGGAUAUAUUACAUUCGUAUCUUUUGCCUGUUAAUUGAAUUAAUUGAAAUAAUUCAGCUUGAUUUCAAUGAUUUUUUCUUUGUCUAUAAUAAUUUGUUAGAAAGCACUCUGCAGCUGUUACUGCGCAGCCUUUUGCGCAGCAGCCGCUCCGUUACUUAUAUAUUCUGUUUUUCGUUAAAUAGAAAGUUUAUUUUUCAAACGGUAUUACAGUUAAAUACCUAUUCAUGUUUAGGCAUUUUUAAGUGUCCCAUAACAAACGUGUUUAAAAGACGAUAUUAUGAAUAAAACACCCAGGGGAUAAAUCAAUGCCGAUGAAUAGUAGAGUAAUGGCCCCUGAAAAACUGAACCAAAUUUUUCGAUAUAUCUUAAUAUCACAGAAAAAGUAAGGAUACCCAUAUCCCUUUUCUUCUCUAGCUUCCUCGUUCAUUUUUGUUCACGCUAGAAAAGUAACGCUUCUUCAUUUUGUGAUAGACCUUACUGGGUUUUGAUAAAAGAAAUCAACUUAAUAUCGGCGAAUUUAGCAUCAGAAUUCUACUUGUAUAAUUUAUAUAAUGAACUGGAAUUGAAGAAAAUGCAGAGCGCAAGAACCAUAACUCUAUAUGGAAUAUUUGAUAGAUUAGUCCGAUUUGCACUCUUCGGCUGGGAAAUAUCAUUUCGGCAAACUUCAUUACUUGGUUUCACUUAUUUACUGCAGAUCUCUUUUUACAAGAAUAUAGCGAUAAGAAAUAUGACUGUCCCACAGUCUGAUCAAGCAGUUAAUGCUCCCUAUAUUGUGUGGUGAGCAAGUUACUUUAACAUUUUGUAGACAAUUUAUGUUUUGAUGAAGUAUGAUACCUAUUUUGCGUUACAGAAGUAAUCUUGAUCCAAGAGGCAUGUUUAAUCACAACAACGAUCACAUCCAAAGAUGAAGUAAGGGGUUUAUUUUAGGAGACUACUUGGCUUUUCCUUUUUGGUGAUAUUAUACGUCCUUGUUUUACUGAAACAUGGGACAUUACCCGGAUUGAUGUAGAGUUUGUAUCUUAUUUAAGAUAUUUUAUUGGAAAUCCUGCAUAAACCGCUGCAUGAUGCGCUCUGAUUAACGAGCAAAUUAUUAAAAUAUAGCAUGUAAUACCUUUAGAAUACAUAGCGCUUACAGAAACUAAUUAGCCGACAUACGGCGUAACAAAACAAAUAACAGUUAAAUGUAUAUUCUUUUAUAAUCAUCAAAACACAACAAUCGAAACCGUCUUCGUGCAAGGAACAUUUCAAAAAUUUAAAUUAAUAUACCGACUGUUUGUAUCCUUCACUCAUUUAGAAACACUUUCCAAAUGCAUAAAUAUUACCCUUUGAGCCAUGAUACAAGUAACAAGCAUCACUCUUAUCUCCCUUGUUUAACCAUUAUUACCACAAACAAUAUUUAACGCAUAACAUUAUCAUAUUUCGAAACAGCUGUCGUUAACAUUGUUUGUUGCCCUUUAACUGCAGUCAUUAUCGGCGGUAAACAGACGAGUUGCGGCAGCAUGCAAUAUCACGACUGAUAGUUUUAAUAUGCACAGCUGGCAGUACUUGAUUUUGUUUAGACUGCAUUGUAAUUACUUUUAAUACAGAUUUAUAAAUACUUGUUCGAACUUAUUUUUGUUGUUGCUGCUGCCGUUGAUUUUUCAUAAAAUUUUAUUAGAUAGAAUCCAUUUACUGACAAAGUAGUACAUGUAUUUUAGACCAGGUUGCACUACAAAAUCAGAAUUGGUUUUUAAGAUGAUUUUCUAAUAUUUCCAUUUACAAUUACGGCACUUUUCACAGACGCUGAUAAAAUUAAAACAGAAAAAGUAUUAGAACCCAGCUAUACAGUUUUAACAAGGGAACUUUAAAUAUAUCUUGGACAAUGUAGUUGUAUAAUUGCUAACUUCUCUCGAUAAUAAGGGAAAAUAAUCUGUGUUAUGGACUUCUCUCUGUAAUAAUUAUUUCAAUAGAUAACCUGUGGUUUUGUGAACUGUAUAUGACACAGGUCUAAAUGUUUCAAAUUGAUUCAUUUUCAAAUGGCAGGAAUUACAGAUUCUUCUUAUUUAUUGUACACCAAGUCACUGACGAUUUUUCCGAAUUCGAGGCUACGAGAGAUAUAACUCAACUUAGACUGCAUGUAUCGAUUUACAGUAAAAUAUAACAAACGGCGUGAUGAUAGUAAAAUGAUUUAAACAAUGUAACAAAAGAUAAUAGGUAAGGGUACAACAAGUUUAUAUUUCUUAGAUGCAAUGGCGUCUAGGCGGGUCAUGAUUUUACUAUUAUUCGGCAGCCUCCUUCUUUGUUUACUGCUAGUUUUCGAAUGGACUACUGAAAGACCUACGACAAGAAUUUGGGGCUGCAAGGAAUCUGUUAAUGCAUAUCAGUUUCAAGAAGUGAAUGGAAAAUUAUUGAAAGUUUUAAUGAAAACGUGUCUCGAAGAUGGAAUUGACUUGAAUGGCAAUCGAUUUAAUUUUGAUUAUUUGAAACGCAAUUUGAUAAGUUUUAGUUGUCCUCAGUCAUGGGAAUAUUUGAGUGUUCCAAAACCACUUGUAGCUCUAGCUAGCUACCCAGGAUCAGGGAAUACUUGGACAAGAGAACUUAUAGAAACAACGACAGGAUUACACACGGAAAGUAUCUACACUGACUGGAACUUCGUGGGUUCUGAGAUGUGUCCAACGCGUGCAAAAAUAUUCAUAGUAAAAACGCAUCUAACGAGUAAUAAAACAAAUCAUCCAGACUGUCUGAAGAUGGGCGUGAAAGAUUUAAAUUACUCGAAGGCAAUAUUAAUUCUUCGAAAUCCUUAUAAUGCAUUACUUGCUGAGUUUAAUCGACAGAAUGCGAUAAAACCAACAGACACGUCCUUUUUCAACGCGGGAGAAGGUCUUGCUCCUAUAAACUUGUUCAGAAGUGAGAAAUGGAAGACAUUUGUGAUGAAGGAAGCCAAUAAAUGGAAACAUAUGUCACUCUAUUGGUUAGAAAGAUUUGACAGACCUGCUUACGUGCUGGUAUAUGAAAAAGAAAGGAAAAAUACACUUACAGAAAUGUACCAUUUGACGAAAUAUUUGAAUAUCGCUGUGCCUUUCAAUUCAUUAUAUUGUCUGUCAAGUAACAAAACUGGAAAUUAUCAUAGAGUAAAACCAAAGUGGAUGACAAUAGAAAAACUUUAUGAUAAAACAUUGCGUAAAAUGGUCAAUACUGUAGUAGAAGAUGUCAGUGCGAAAGUUGGUUUGAGAAAGAACAUUACGGAUUUAUUACAGUCCUAUCUUUUGCCUGUAAAUUAAAGUAAUUUAGAUAA